AUACGGAGGGUGCAAGCGUUAUUCGGAAUCACUGGGCGUAAAGGACGCGUAGGCGGGUUGGCAAGUCAGAUGUGAAAUCCUACAGCUUAACUGUAGAACUGCAUUUGAAACUGCUAACCUAGAGUAUGGGAGGGGGAGAUGGAAUUAGUGGUGUAGGGGUAAAAUCCGUAGAUAUCACUAGAAAUACCGAAAGCGAAGGCGAUCUCCUGGAACAUAACUGACGCUAAGGCGUGAAAGCGUGGGGAGCAAACAGGAUUAGAUACCCUUGUAGUCC
rnacentral:rRNA from 1 species